rnacentral:rRNA from 1 species
AACCCUGACGCAGCAACGCCGCGUGAGUGAUGAAGGCCUUCGGGUCGUAAAGCUCUGUCAGAGGGGAAGAAGUGCAGUGGUGCUAAUAUCGCCAUUGUUUGACGGUACCCUCAAAG